CCUACGGGUGGCAGCAGUGAGGAAUAUUGGUCAAUGGGCGCGACCCUGACCCAGCCAAGUAGCGUGAAGGAUGACUGCCCUACGGGUUGUAAACUUCUUUUAUAAAGGAAUAAAGUGAGGCACGUGUGCCUUUUUAUAUCUACUUUAUGAAUAACGAUCGGCUAACUCCGUGCCAGCAGCCGCGGUAAUCCGGAGGUUCCCAGCGUUAUCCGGAUUUAUUGGGUUUAAUGGGAGCGUAGAUGGGUUGUUAAGUCAGUUGUGAAAGGUUGCGGCUCAACCGUAAAAUUGCAAUUGAUACUGGCAGCAUUGAGUACAGUUGAGGUAGGCGGAAUUCGUGGUGUAGCGGUGAAAUGCUUAGAUAUCACGAAGAACUCCGAUUGCGAAGGCAGCUUACUAAACUGCCACUGACAUUGAUGCUCGAAAGUGUGGGUAUCAAACAGGAUUAGAUACCCCGGUAGUC
rnacentral:rRNA from 1 species